rnacentral:lncRNA from 12 species
CCUCACUUGGUAUUGUUUAUGCAAAUAUACCCUCUUUUCAAAAAGCGUCUGGCUUCAGAAAAGGCCUGGCAGUGGAGCACAAAAGCGAAGUUGUACAGCAGCUAGCAGACCUGAAAAGACAGGCUGAAUGGAGCAAUGGAUGCAAUAUGCAGUCGGCCAGACAAACAGAAGAACCAUUCUUCUCUGGGUACCAGUGGUGUGUGGAGAAGGCAGCCUAUCCCAGAGGGAGGAAGAAAAGGCCUUGAGAGAAUAUGAAGUAUCAAUGAUCUGAACAUUUUAAGAAAACUUCCCAGUGUGUCCUUUUUAAGGAAAGUUUGG